rnacentral:rRNA from 1 species
UACGGAGGGUGCAAGCGUUAAUCGGAAUUACUGGGCGUAAAGCGCACGCAGGCGGUUUUGUAAGUCAGAUGUGAAAUCCCCGGGCUCAACCUGGGAACUGCCUCUGAUACUGGAAAGCUUGAGUCCCGUAGAGGGGGGUAGAAUUCCUGGUGUAGCGGUGAAAUGCGUAGAGAUCUGGAGGAACACCGGUGGCGAAGGCGGCCCCCUGGACGAAGACUGACGCUGAGGUGCGAAAGCGUGGGGAGCAAACAGG